GACUUGGUGUACCACGAGGAUGAGUUCAUCCUGGAGGGAGUCGCCUGGCCGGGCACCACGCUAUCCCACUUCGACCGGGCGCUGCUGGGGGCCUGGCAGGAGCGCAUGGCGCGGGGACUGUUCCGGUACCACCUGGCGGAGCUGCCCACCCGCGUGCUGCCCGGCCCCAUGCGUCUGCUGGCCCAGCUCAACGUGCAGCGCGGCACUGAGCGCAGGCGGCCGCAGGCAGUGCACAGCCUGACGCAGCCUUUCGACCCCCGGCAAUUCAACUUCACGCAGAUCCGCCCCGGGGAGGUGCUGCUGCGCCUGCAACGGAGACCCCCGGCUGAGAGCGACCUCGCAGCCACGGACCACGUGCUGGUGGUGAUCAACAUCAGCCCCCUGGAGCGCGGCCACGUGCUGCUGCUGCCGGAGCCGACGCUGCACCUGCCGCAAGUGCUCACCCCCGAGCUGCUGCGCGUAGGGCUGGAGGCCGUGCUGCUCAGCGCCCACCCCGGCUUCCGCGUGGGCUUCAACAGCCUGGGGGCCUCCGCCUCCGUCAACCACCUGCAUCUGCACGGCUUCUACCUGGCCCACCCGCUGCUGGUGGAGACGGCACCGGC
rnacentral:lncRNA from 1 species